rnacentral:rRNA from 1 species
GACGAAUGCUGGCUGCGUGCUUAACACAUGCAAGUCGAACGGUGAAGGAGAGCUUGCUCUCCGGAUCAGUGGCGAACGGGUGAGUAACACGUGGGCAACCGGCCCCUCACUCUGGGAUAACGCCGGGAAACCGGCGCUAAUACCGGAUACGACCAGGCGCGACAUCUCGCCUGGUGGAAAGAAUUUCGGUGAGGGAUGGGCCCGCGGCCUAUGAGCUUGUUGGUGGGGUAACGGCCCACCAAGGCGACGACGGGUAGCCGGCCUGAGAGGGCGACCGGCCACACUUUGACUGAGACACGGCCCAGACUCCUACGGGGUGCAGCAGUGGGGAAUAUUGGACAAUGGGCGAAAGCCUGAUCCACCAAUGCCGCGUGGGUGAAGAAGGUCUUCGGAUCGUAAAGCCCUUUCGACAGGGACGAUGAUGACGGUACCUGUAGAAGAAGCCCCGGCUAACUUCGUGCCAGCAGCCGCGGUAAAAC